rnacentral:rRNA from 1 species
GAUGAACGCUGGCGGCGUGCUUAACACAUGCAAGUCGAACGAUGAAGCCCAGCUUGCUGGGUGGAUUAGUGGCGAACGGGUGAGUAACACGUGAGUAACCUGCCCUUAACUCUGGGAUAAGCCUGGGAAACUGGGUCUAAUACCGGAUAGGAGCGUCCACCGCAUGGUGGGUGUUGGAAAGAUUUAUCGGUUUUGGAUGGACUCGCGGCCUAUCAGCUUGUUGGUGAGGUAAUGGCUCACCAAGGCGACGACGGGUAGCCGGCCUGAGAGGGUGACCGGCCACACUGGGACUGAGACACGGCCCAGACUCCUACGGGAGGCAGCAGUGGGGAAUAUUGCACAAUGGGCGCAAGCCUGAUGCAGCGACGCCGCGUGAGGGAUGACGGCCUUCGGGAUGUAAACCUCUUUCAGUAGGGAAGAAGCGAAAGUGACGGUACCUGCAGAAGAAGCACCGGCUAACUACGU